rnacentral:rRNA from 1 species
GAGGGGCAGCAGACCGCUUCGGUGGUGCUGGCGACCGGCGCACGGGUGAGUAUCGCGUUUGUAACCUACCCUUAACCGGGGGAUAGCCCGAAGAAAUUCGGAUUAAUACCCCAUAACAUCUAAGCACGGCAUCGUGCUUUCAUUAAAGCUCCGGCAGUUAAGGAUGGGCAUGCGUGACAUUAGUUAGUUGGUGAGGUAAGGGCUCACCAAGACCACGAUGUCUAGGGGGUCUGAGAGGAUGAUCCCCCACACUGGUACUGAGACACGGACCAGACUCCUACGGGAGGCAGCAGUGAUGAAUAUUGGUCAAUGGACGCAAGUCUGAACCAGCCAUGCCGCGUGCACGAUUACCCCCCUAUGGGUUGUACACUGCUUUAUACACGAACAAACCCAUCUACGUGUAGAUGGUUGACGGUAGUGUAACAAUAAGCAUCGGCGUGACUCCGUG